UGUGGAAAUUUAAUUACACGGUCAGACCUUGGAAGGAUUUUUUCCCCCGUAAAGAAAUGGGAUAUGAAAACUAAUUCAAGAGUUUUCUAUAAGAGAAUGAGCCCUCACAAGCCGUGGGUUGGGACUCCUCUGCCACCUGCUGGUGUUUUACCGCCCCCUAGUGGUGGCAUACUAAACAGCUAGAUUAAAACGUGUGCAUGGAGCUGUCCAAAUGCAUUACUAAAACAAUUUAACGUCCCUGCCUGUUCUAUCCAUUUACAUUUCCUUUACAAUUCAUAAAAAUAUAUGCGUAUAUUUUAGGGUUUAUGAUGAAAUAGAUUAUGUUCACUGUACUUCAUUCCUCUCUCUUCCAGUUACAGUUUUCCCAAGUAUUAAUGUACUAAUUUCCCUAAACGAACUGUCAUGUAAUAUACUCCAACACACGCGCGCACGCACACACACACACACACACACACACACAGAG